UUUUAUUUUAAUUCAAAGUAAAAAAUAUAAUAAUAAAUAAUAUUAUUCAUAUUUACUUAAAUAGGCCGACCUAAUAGGCUUAAGAGUCUUUUUGAAUGGCCUAUGGCCUGACCUUUUAAGCUAAAUAGGCUUCUAAAAAAGCCUAGGCCUUCUCUGUUUAAGAAAAAAGUCUGGCCUAUCGUAGGCUAGGCCAUAGGCCCCUGUAUGC
rnacentral:lncRNA from 1 species